AAAUAAGAAGUAAUAAAUUACAUAUUAAUUUCGACUUAAUAAUAGAUAUUAUCAAUAUCCUUAUUUA
rnacentral:tRNA from 1 species